rnacentral:sRNA from 1 species
AUUACGCUCAAGGAUAAAAAGCUUUGCUAUGACCAAGGCAUUAGUGGACAUCACCUUAUGAAGACUUCCAUGACGGUCAAUGUGGUGGGUUCAUCCGGGCUCUGCUUCCAGGAAACACACCUGGGGCCCCAUAUGCAAGUAUUGGAGCUUGGGAUACUGGGCCCUGGGAGGGGAAGGUUGGGGUCGGGUCUCAACAGGGCUAAUCCCCCUGAGAAUCCCACUAAUGCAUUCAUAAUUUCCUUUCUUCUCAUUCUUUCUCAACAUUCAUCCACCCACCCGCUACCACCCACCUUUCAUUCUUUUUUCUUUAAGACGGAGUUUCACUCUUGUUGCCCAGGCUGGAGUGCGGCGGCGGGUCUUGGCUCACUUUGCCUCCUUGGCUCAAGUGAUUCUCCUGCCUCAGCCUCCCAAGUAGCUGGGAUUAUAGGCGCCCGCCACCAUGGCUGGCUAAUUUUUUGUAUUUUUAGUGGAGACAGAGUUUUUCCAUGUUGGCCAGGAUGGUCACAAACUCCUAAACUCAAAUGAUCCACCCGCCUCAGCCUCCCAAAGUGCUGGGAUUCCAGGUGUGAGCCACCAUGCCCGGCCUAACGCCUUUCAUUCAUUCACGUUUUCAGAAAGGGCCACCUUCCCAGUUGUGCAGGUUGCACACAAACUGGCAUGUUCCCUCUGAUAACUUUUCUUCAGAGGGAGAAUAGAGUGAGCAACAGGGCCGUUUUUUUGUUGUUGUUGUUUUGUUUUUUUUUUUUAACGAAGUCUCACUCUUGUCCCCCGGGCUGGAGUGCAAUGGUGCAAUCUCGGCUCACUGCAACCUCCACCUCCCGGGUUCAAGCGAUUCUCCUGCCUCAGCCUCCCAAGUAGCUGGGAUUACAGGUGCAUACCACCAUGCCUAGCUAAUUUUUUAUAUUUUAAAUAGAGACGGAGUUUCACCAUGUUGGCCAGGCUGGUCUCGAACUCCUAACCUCAGGUGAUCUGCCGGCCUCGGCCUCCCAAAGUGCUGGGAUUACAGGUGUGAGCCACCGUGCCCGACCUAGGGCCACUUUUUGCAAUUGGCACAAAGGUGGCAUAAGGGCUGGCCUGGCCCUGCUUUCACAUCUCUCUCUUCUUCUGCCCACUCACACAUUCCUCAUUCAGUUCUUUGGGUGCUUGGUGCUUCACUUGCUUAUACGUGUGAUAUCGCCUUUGCCCGAGGCAGACACUGAGGCUCAGAGAGGUGCAGAGUAACCCACGGAGCUAAUAAGUGGUAGAGGAGGGGCGUGCCCCAGAGUUCUUGUUCUCACCCAUUUCCCUACCCACUCCCUGGCAUGCAGAUCCUGGUGUUCCUCCCUCCUGGCUUAGAAUGACCUUGGGCAGUCAAAAGGGGUUGUAACAGCCCCCACCUCCUUAGAGUACAUGAGAUUUCAUGUGCUAGACUGAAUAAACAAGGAGGAAGUGUGACUGCAUCAGGGUGGGCAAGGGGGAACGUGGCAGGAUGAGCUCGGAGCAGUGAUGGGGCAGAGUAAGCGGAGCCCUUAUGGGCCAUGGUAUGUGAGCUGGCUCCUCGGGAGGGCUCCAAGCAGAGGAGGGACUCGGGUGUCCCCAGGGCCCAUCUGGCUGCAUGGGGUGGGGGGACAUCAAUGAGGGGACUGGAAGCAGGGAGACUCUGGAGGAGACAAGGUUGGACAAAACAGGGUGGGGGCAAAGGAGUUGGAGGUUUAGGGGAGAGAACAGGCAGGCUCUCGGUCUUUUUUUUUUUUUUUUUUUUGAGACAGAGUCCUGCUCUGUCACCCAGGCUGGAGUGCAGUGGUGCAGUCUUGGCCUCUACCUCCCUGGUUCAAGCGAUUCUCCAGCCUCUGCCUCCCGAGUAGCUGGGAUUACAGGCAUGCACCACCACACCCAGCUAAUUUUUUGUAUUUUUAGUAGAGACAGGGUUUUGCUGUGCUGGCCAGGCUAGUCUCGAACUCCUGGACUCAAGUGAUCGGCCCGCCUCGGCCUCCCAAAGUUCUGGGAUUACAGGCAUGAGCCACUGCACCAGGCCGUGUUAAUGAUAUUAAUGACCAUAUUGCCCUUGGCGGUGAGGGAGAGCCAGGCAGCUGGUGGUGGUGUUUGUGGGAGGGGGACUGUCCUUCCUGCCCCUUACCCCUCCAGGGGCCUGAGGAGACCCUGGCCACCCCUGUGAGCCUUUUUUCCUCCCACCGAGGGCAACCUGAUGGUGCCAGUGUUCAUUGGCUGCCCCCCGGGCAAGCGCCUGGCCUUCGACAUCACCUACACGCUGGAAUACAGCCGCCUGAAGAACAAACACUACUUUGACUGUGUUAACGUGAACCCGGAGAUGCCCUGCUUUCUCUUCCGGGACAGUGUGUGUCCAGUCCCUUCCCCUGCACAGUUCACUGCCCUCUUGCCCCCACUACUUUGUGCUCUCCCUCCCCACUCCUCUCCCCGCAGACUACCCACCCUUUUUCCUGCAGCAUCUCACUUUCCCCCGUCUCGGUGCUCAGCUUCUCGGGCCAAGCUAAUUUCUUCUUCUGGUCUCAAUCCCCUCCAACCCCAUAGUUUUCUACCCCUUCUUCUUGAUUCAAGAUUUGGUGACAGGAGACUCCGGCAGUUUCCAGGGCAGGUAAAGGCAUGGCCAGCUUGCAGCUAGGGCAGGUGGAGGGAGUGGAAGGAGAUGGGUGCAGGACUCGAGACCCGGAGGCCAGUCUAUGUGCACUUCUGUCCCUGGUAGCUACGUUCUGCUGGUGGUGGGUGGCGGGCCCACACUGGACAGCCUCAAGGACUACAGUGAGGACGAAAUCUACCGCUUCAACAGCCCCCUGGACAAGUAAUCCCCGUGGGGCCCCACGUGUAAUCCACCUUGCUUCCCCUAGAGGCCUUUCCCACUUCCAAGCCAAGCCCACCUCGCAAGCCCCCACCUCUGCGUCUCAGGCCCUGCCCACAGUGGGGCUCUUAGGAUCUCACAGGCAAACUCCUGCCCGCCCCCUAACACCACGCCCCCUGCACCCACCUGUGGCCUCCCUCCACACUGACCACUGAGGUCAUGCCUCCCCUACACCGCCCCCCAACCCCUGGCUGAGAUGACCUGGGCCUGCACAGGACCAACAGCCUUAUCUGGACCACGAGGACCACAAGGACCACCAAAGACUCAGCCUUUCACAUCAUGUCCCACGAGAGCCCAGGCAUCGAGUGGCUCUGUCUGGAGAAUGCCCCAUGCUAUGACAAUGUUCCCCAAGGCAUCUUUGCCCCUGAAUUCUUCUUCAAGGUGUUGGUGAGCAAUAGGUGAGCCAGCACCUACUGCAACUACCAGCUCACCUUCCUGCUGCACAUCCACGGGCUGCCACUCAGUCCCAAGCGGGCCCUUUUCAUCCUCAUGGUGUCAGCUAGCGUGUUUGUGGGCCUGGUGAUCUUCUACAUCGCCUUCUGCCUCCUGUGGCCCCUCGUGGUGAAGGGCUGCACGAUGAUCCGGUGGAAGAUAAACAACCUCAUUGCCUCAGAAUCCUACUACACCUACGCCUCCAUUUCCGGAAUCUCGAGCGUGCCGUCUCUGAGACAUUCCAGGAUGGGCUCCAUGUUCAGCUCCAGGAUGACAGAGGACAGGGCUGAACCCAAGGAAGCCGUGGAGAGACAGUUGAUGACCUGAGUGUCCCACCUGCCCCAGCCCCCAGUCACUGUCACGCCUCUCCUAUGAGGCCCAUCUUGAAGAUGCAACCUGUCACCCAGCCCAGGCCUCUCUUUCUGUUUUGCUUGAUGUUUACUUCUUGUUCGACUCAAAUAAAGCCUUUUUGCAG